GANCAUGUUAAGAAUGGAUCUAUUCUUUCUUUCGGCUACUCCAUUUUGUUGUGGAGAGUAUGGAACCGUCAAUGGACGACGAAUUCCAUUCUCCUCACAAUAUUUCUCAAACUUUUUGGAGGUGAACUCUCCUCCUCUAUCCGAUCUCAAGGCUUUUAUACUAUAUCCGCUUUCUUUUUCAACAAGAGCUUUAAACUUCUUAAAAGUUUCAAAAACUUCCAAUUUUUGUUUAAGAAAAUAGACCCAAGUCUUUCUACUGAAAUCAUCAAUAAAAAGAACAAAAUAAUUGCUCUUACCGAGAGAGCUUGGAUUAAUUGGCCCACAAACAUCGGAGUGUACAAGUUCUAGCGGCUUCUUAGCUCUUGUAGAUGCUUCUUUUGGAAAACUUUUUCUCGAAUGCUUUCCAAGUAAGCAUCCUUCACAUAAUUGAUCCGCAUGAUUUAUUGGAGGCAAACCUUUCACCAUUUUCUUCUUACUUAACAACUUUAAGCCUCCAAAAUUAAGAUGCCCAAAUCUCAAGUGCCAAAGCCAAGA
rnacentral:lncRNA from 1 species